UGCCCAGGGAAGGGAAUCGAACCCACAAUGUUCCGCUUACCGGGCAGAUGCCAUGUCCACUAAGCUAUUCUGGAC
rnacentral:tRNA from 1 species